AGAGUUUGAUCCUGGCUCAGGAUGAACGCUAGCGGCAGGCCUAAUACAUGCAAGUCGAACGAUACCAGAGAGCUUGCUUUCUGGGAAAGUGGCGCACGGGUGCGUAACGCGUAUGCAACCUACCUUAAUCAGGGGGAUAGCCUCUCGAAAGAGAGAUUAACACCGCAUAAAAUCACACUUCGGCAUCGAAGAAUGAUCAAAUAUUUAUAGGAUUAAGAUGGGCAUGCGUGACAUUAGUUUGUUGGUGAGGUAACGGCUCACCAAGACUACGAUGUCUAGGGGAUCUGAGAGGAUGACCCCCCACACUGGUACUGAGACACGGACCAGACUCCUACGGGAGGCAGCAGUAAGGAAUAUUGGUCAAUGGGGGCAACCCUGAACCAGCCAUGCCGCGUGCAGGAAGACGGCCCUACGGGUUGUAAACUGCUUUUAUACGGGAAUAAAUCUCGCUACGUGUAGGAGUUGAAUGUACU
rnacentral:rRNA from 1 species